rnacentral:lncRNA from 1 species
GGAUAUUAUUCAAGAAAUUAAAAGAAGGAUUUAGCUCAGUGGUGCCAUGCCUACCUUGCACAAGGUCCUGGGUUCAAUCCCCAUAACUGAAAAAAAAAAUUUUUUUAAGAGGGGGAGCUGGGGAUGUAGCUCAGUGUGAAGGCCCUAGGUCCAAUCCUUAGUACCACAAAAGAAAAGACAAAAAGAAUGCUUCAGGGGAAAAUGGAAGUGAUGAAUUACCUAAUAGAGGCAACGAAGUGAAUAAAGUAUGUACUGAGAAACUUUAUGUGGGAAGAAUUAAUGAUAGGUAUAUUUUGAAGAACAAAGCAAAAGAGCAAAGUAAUGAUUAAUGCUAGGAGAAACAAAAAGUUGGAAACAAUCAUGAAACACUAGUGGGUUAGCAAUGUACAUUUACAGUACUCGGCCAGGGAUUUAGCUCAGUGGUUCUGCCGCCUGCUUCACAAGUGCAAGGACCCGAGUUUGAUCCCCGGCACCAAAAAAAACAAAAAUACAUUUACAGUACUCAUAGUGAAAAUAAUGGCACCUGGAGGUUGUGGUGCAGGCCUGUAGUCCUAGCACUCAGGAGGCUGAGGCAGGAGGAUUGCCACGAGUUCAAGGCCAGCUUGGAUGAGAUAGUGAGAUCCCAUCUCAAAAAACAAUGCAAGCUGAUGUGGUGUAUGCCUGUGAUCCCAGCAUUCAAGAGGCUGAGGCAGGAGGAUCAACAGUUUAAGUCCAGCCUGGGGAAUUCAGUAACUUGUUACUAUUAUUUGAUGUUAGACUUUAGAUAGAUCCUUAAUUUUUUCUUUCCUUUUUUCCUUCUUCCUUUUCUCCACCUUUUCUUAGGGUCUCACUCUGUUGUCCCGCUGGCUGUCUCAAAAUCUAAAACAAAGGGGCUGGGGAUUUAGCUCAGUGGUUUCGCCGCCUGCUGUGCAAGUGCAAGGAGGAGAGUUCGAUUCCCGGUAGCCAGUUUAUUUCUGCUCCGAGCCUUUCCAUUCAGCUGUGCCCUCUGCCUGGAAUACUCUUUCCCAGAAGAGGUCUUUUCUUCCCGCCCCUAUCACAUCACUUCAUUCUCCCUCACCUGUGUCACUCUGAGGUUACCUGGUUACAAGCCUGUGUGCGUUCUUCCAGUGGAGUGGAGGUCCUGAGAGCAGCCCCGUCUGUCUUGCGCCUGCUGUCUCAUGCAGGAUGCCUUGUACUUAGUAGGUACUGAAUAUUUAUUAAAG